rnacentral:tRNA from 1 species
GCCUGAGUGGCUCAGUGGUUGAGCGUCUGCCUUUGGCUCAGGGAGUGAUCCUGGAUUCCGGGUUCGAGUCCCACAUCAGGCU